rnacentral:rRNA from 1 species
UACAGAGGGGGCAAGCGUUGUUCGGAAUUACUGGGCGUAAAGGGCGCGUAGGCGGCCCACUAAGUCGAACGUGAAAUCCCCGGGCUCAACCCGGGAACUGCGUCCGAUACUGGUGGGCUUGAAUCCGGGAGAGGGAUGCGGAAUUCCAGGUGUAGCGGUGAAAUGCGUAGAUAUCUGGAGGAACACCGGUGGCGAAGGCGGCAUCCUGGACCGGCAUUGACGCUGAGGCGCGAAAGCCAGGGGAGCAAAACGGG